rnacentral:tRNA from 1 species
GCGUCAGCGCCACAGCGCCCACCAGCGGACUUCGCGCGAUCCUCUCUUAAUCCGCGGGUUCGGGGUUCAAGUCCCUGACGGCGCA